AUCCACAACAAACUUCCCCCACAUCCUGGUCCAACUUAGGCUGGACCUUGGACUCGGCUCGCUACGCGAGUCGACCGGGUGACGUCGCCCGGCUUUUCCCACCAGCGGGUCACCAUUGCCACAAGCCAACGUCAUCCCGUCAUGCCGCCGGCUAAUCAGCCACUAAUUGUGGCAUGGUUUGGAUUGAUCGAGAAAUUGUUAGACUAACCGUGUGGUGGAGAUGCAGACUUUAAGGGUUUAUUUUUAUGGCUAGCGGUGCAAAUGGACCAAGCCAAGUCUAGUUGAGCUUAGCUCGAUCAUAUUCGAGGGUGGUCAAGGUCGAACCCGGGCUACUUGUGAGCUUCUUCUCAGCUUGCUUCUUUUGCAUUCGAAAUUGGAUGGUGUAUUUUUUUUUUUCUUUUUAAUGAAAGAACCUAGGUAGUGACAUUUCCAUUAUAUUCCUCGGAACAAGGAAAAGAAUUAUUUCAUUUGAUGUUUUCGAGGUCCAAAUAUUGUUCAGGCAUGGCUGAGCCUUGAAACGUGGCUAGAACUUGGAUUGCUUUCGAGUUUCGGUUAGCUUGAAUGAUCCACCAAGCUUGGAAGGCCUCUCCAUGCUGGUGAUUUGAUGCAGGGAUUACGUGGAGUGCAUCCGAGUUGAGGGCCUGGUGAAAUUAAGUGAAAGGAUUUUGAUGGUGUGGGAAAUGUGUCUUAAGUACUGCUUUACGAUCUCGGGGGGUCCAGGGGAGAUGAUGAUUCUGUCUUCUCCCACCGUCCCACAUGGUGCUCGUUCUGUGGAACCCUAUCAAUAUUGGAAGGAUAACAAGGAACAUGGACAAAGGAGACAAAGGGGUCGGGAAUCAAGUUACGGCAAUGGAUUGGGUAAGAUAAGAUUGAAAGCCUGUGCCGGGAACUGAUGCCAUUAUCUUAAGUAGGUACAAUAACACUGUUCAUGAAUCCUUAUCCCGGCUUGGAGUGAUGCCUUCUUUUGCAUGUUAUGAAUAAUUCUGUGUAGGCCUUUAGAGAGGGUAUAUGCCAGUAUAUUUUUUAUAUGAAAAGCAGUGAGGGAAACCCUUUUGUUUUUUUUCGCUUUUUGAGCAAUGCUGUGAGGGGGGCUACUGAUACGGGAAGACAGCUUAUGUUAGUUUGAUCCAAUUUUCAUCUAAGCUCGGGUGUUAGCCAACCUAUUUGCCUCUAUGAUUUCUAAGCCGAGGUACCAGAUCAAGAUUUGAGGUGGCUGUUACACACUAGAUAGUUAUCAUAUCCGGUCAAUAUGCUAAAUAUGCUCCGGAUCUUAUGGGUGACAAUUCAUCUCAGUCGGAUGAGAUAGGAGCAGUGUAAUUCUAUCAACCACUCCUGCUUUUUUAAAAAAAAAUGGUAGACUGCCCCACAUAUAAAUAGGAGAGAACAGAGGAUCCUAGGUUCAUCUCCAUCCGAUGCGGUGCCAGACUCUAGCCACUUUAGAUCUUUGCUCCAACAUUAGGUUGGCUGCUAGCAACAACCGCUACCAUCUACAUUUGGAUCCCCAAUCUUUUCCCAACGAAGGUGGAGAUCAAGCAGCCGGCUUAAUGCAUUCAAAAUUUUCAAUUUUUUUAAUAUGUUUGGAAACAUCAAAAACUAAUUCUUGCAAAUGGCACCCUAUGUUAAUGACCAAGACAACCAUCUCAUGCAAUCCAAAACACUAAAUCCGAUUGAGAUUGA